rnacentral:tRNA from 1 species
AAAUAAGAAGCAGUAUAUGCUUUUAGUUUCGACCUAAAGAUUAGUUUUGAUCCCAAAACCUUAUUUA